ACCCGGGGGAGGGAGGAGUUUUUCUUGGGACACCGACUGGUCCCCCGGCCCCUAGGAACUAGCAUCUUGGGGGCUGCGCUGACUUCUGCCCAGGCGCCCCCACUUUUUUUUUCCCAAAUACUUGAAAGGCAGAGUUAGAGUAAUCUUCCCAUUUUCUGCCUCACUCCCCAGCUGGCUGCGAUCCAGGCGUUUCUUCCACGUUUGAGGGCAGGAUGCCCAAGCACUUGAGCCACCCAAGGCUGCUCUCCCAGGUACUAAAUCUGAAGCCACACGGGACUAUCGUACACAAGGAGCUGGAGCAGUUAUGCUAGCACAUCAAAGCAUAUUUCUUUUAAUAAAAAAUUGACAGUAUGUACAUUAUU